rnacentral:rRNA from 1 species
GAUGAACGCUGGCGGCGUGCCUAAUACAUGCAAGUCGAGCGAACAGACGAGGAGCUUGCUCCUUUGACGUUAGCGGCGGACGGGUGAGUAACACGUGGAUAACCUACCUAUAAGACUGGGAUAACUUCGGGAAACCGGAGCUAAUACCGGAUAACAUGUUGAACCGCAUGGUUCAACAGUGAAAGACGAUCUUGCUGUCACUUAUAGAUGGAUCCGCGCCGCAUUAGCUAGUUGGUAAGGUAACGGCUUACCAAGGCAACGAUGCGUAGCCGACCUGAGAGGGUGAUCGGCCACACUGGAACUGAGACACGGUCCAGACUCCUACGGGAGGCAGCAGUAGGGAAUCUUCCGCAAUGGGCGAAAGCCUGACGGAGCAACGCCGCGUGAGUGAAGAAGGUCUUCGGAUCGUAAAACUCUGUUAUUAGGGAAGAACAAAUGUGUAAGUAACUAUGCACGUCUUGACGGUACCUAAUCAGAAAGCCACGGCUAACUACGUG